GAGCUCAGUACACUAACACUUAUACUAAAACUGAAAUAGACAUAGCAGAUUAGCACGGCCCCUGAGCAAGGAAGACACAUAGAUUCAUGAAGCCUAAUAAUUCCUA